AUGCGAUAUAACUGCCACAUUAAUGUGGAAGCAUGCUCGAGCAUCAAGGCAGUCAAGUAUUUGUUCAAGUACAUCUAUAAAGGCCACGAUCGGACGUCCUUUGCAUUCGAGCAGGACAUAAUCAAUGAUGGUGGAAUCAUCAAUGAAAUCCGACAAUAUAGGGAUGCACGCUACGUAUCUCCUCCAGAGGCUAUUUACAGGAUUUUUGGUUUCAAAAUGUUUGGUGUCAGUCCAUCAGUGCUGCAGCUCCAGCUUCAUUUGCCGAACAUGCAUACAAUUGCAUUUAAAGCUGGUGAAAAUCUUGAAGAUGUUGUCGCUCGACCAUCUUCAUCCAGGUCCAUGCUUACCGAGUACUUUGAGAUGAACCGGAGGAAUCCGCAAGCACAGAAAUUGUUGUACAGAGAGUUUCCAGAGCAUUAUAGAUGGAUAGCUGGAAAAAAGAAGUGGCAGAAGAGAAGAAAUAACAGAUCACAGAUUGGAAGACUUGUGUAUGCACACCCUGCUGAAGGAGAGAGGUACUACUUGCGUGUGCUGCUAAGUCAUGUUCAAGGUGCCACUUCUUUUGAUCAUUUAAAAACAGUAAAUGGCAACCUAUGCACUUCCUUUAGAGAGGCAUGUGAGCACUUAGGCCUCAUUGAGCACGACAAGACUCUUGAUGAUUGCAUGACAGAGGCAGCCACAUUUCAGAUGCCUUCUGCCCUAAGACGGUUGUUUGUAACUAUAUUGGUAUUUUGCGAGGCAACGGAAAUACGACAAUUGUGGGAUAAACAUCUACCAUCAAUGUGUGAGGACUACAGUCGUAAUGAAUCCAAUGAGUCGGUACUUGAGCAGAUGGUCCUUCGAGAUAUUAGGGAUAUGUUGCAAUCCAUGGGAAAGGAUAUUAAGAGCUAUGGACUUCCGGAUCUGGUUGAGACCGAUGGUUCUUAUGACAGUGAGUACAAAGAGGUAACAGAGGAGAGGCAAAUCACCACGGACACAGAACAUCUAGAUCUACUUAGCAGUUUGAACAAUGAGCAGCUAGCUGGUUUCAAUGACAUAAUGGAUCAUGUGAUGAACAAAAAAAGCCAGAUAUUCUUUGUUGAUGGUCCAGGAGGAACUGGGAAGACGUACUUGUACAAGGCAUUGCUAGCAAAGGUGCGUUCCAUGGGCGAAAUCGCGAUCGCAACUGCUACAUCUGGUAUUGCAGCGUCGAUAAUGCCUGGAGGACGCACAGCACACUCCCGGUUCAAAAUUCCAAUCAAGCUCACUGACAACAGUAUGUGCGGUUUCACAAAACAGAGUGGUACAGCGGAGUUGCUUAGACAGGCGUCCCUGAUAAUUUGGGACGAAGUCGCUAUGACAAAACGACAAGCAGUUGAGACGCUUGAUAGAUCACUACAGGAUAUAAUGGAAUGUUCUUUGCCGUUUGGAGGAAAGGUUGUUGUCUUUGGUGGUGAUUUCAGGCAGGUCCUACCCGUUGUGACACGUGGGACAAGAGCACAAAUAACGGAUGCUACACUUCUGAGAUCCUAUCUUUGGGAGAAGACCCGCAAGAUACGUCUCACGCGCAAUAUGCGGGCACAGGCUGAUCCUUGGUUCUCAGAAUACCUACUAAGGAUAGGCAAUGAAACUGAAGAGACAAUUGGCGACGAUUAUGUCCGUCUCCCUGAGGACAUUGUCAUUGGCUAUACCGUGGAUGAAAAAGCUAUUAACAUGCUCAUCGAAAAUGUCUUCCCAUCUUUGCAGGCCAAUGCUAGAUCGAGAGAGUACAUGAGUGCACGUGCUAUUCUUUCAACCAAGAACGAUCAUGUCGAUGACCUGAAUGACAAAAUGAUCUCCAGGUUUCCAGGCGAAGAAAAGUUAUACCAUAGUUUUGACUCAAUUGAGGAUGACUUGCAGAAUAAUUACACAAUUGAUUUUUUGAACUCAAUCACACCAAAUGGCUUGCCCCCGCAUGUUUUGAAAUUAAAGGUCAACUGUCCAGUCAUUCUGCUCCGGAACCUCGACCCUCAUAAUGGUCUAUGCAAUGGAACACGGCUUAUGAUCAGAGCCUUUCAGGAUAAUGCAAUCGAUGCGGAGAUUGUUGGUGGUCAGCAUGCUGGAAAGAGGGUGUUUAUACCUAGGAUCCCUAUGUCACCCUCAGAGGACAUCUCACUUCCUUUCAAACUUAAGAGAAAACGGUUCCCCAUCCGCCUGAGUUUUGCCAUGACAAUUAACAAGGCACAGGGUCAGACCAUCCCAAAUGUCGGCAUUUACCUUCCCGAGCCAGUAUUCUCACAUGGGCAGCUAUAUGUUGCAUUGUCAAGAGGAGUGUCGAGAGAGACGACACGGAUUUUGGCCAAGCCAAACAAGGAUGUUGAUAAAUCCGGGAAAAGCACCAAGAACAUUGUCUAUAGAGAUGUUUUGGAGAGAUGA
rnacentral:rRNA from 1 species